UACAGAGGGGGCAAGCGUUAUUCGGAAUUAUUGGGCGUAAAGAGCUCGUAGGCGGUUUGUCGCGUCUGCUGUGAAAACGCGAGGCUCAACCUCGCGCCUGCAGUGGGUACGGGCAGACUAGAGUGCGGUAGGGGAGAUUGGAAUUCCUGGUGUAGCGGUGGAAUGCGCAGAUAUCAGGAGGAACACCGAUGGCGAAGGCAGAUCUCUGGGCCGUAACUGACGCUGAGGAGCGAAAGCGUGGGGAGCGAACAGG
rnacentral:rRNA from 1 species